CCUUCUCUCACUCCCUCCCCCAGGAAACCUGUUCGACUGUCCUGCUGGUCAGGACACGUGGUGCCUGAACAGGGACCUGGGUAUGAGGGAUCCAGUGUAGAGCACCGAAAUAAAGAGAAAGGCCACGGUGGAAAGCAGAAGAGGACGGCAGAGACUCGUCCAGAAGGGGACAGCAGAGAAUUGUCCUGAGAAAGGCCAGCGAAAAACAUAGAAGGAGGAAGAGAAGAUGUUCUGGUCUUGGCGUGGUGGCCCCUGGUGUCAGUGGAGGGGGCACAGUUCCAGGAAGCUGCAGAUUUGCCCCAAGUCCUUCAUGGGAUGAGUCUUUCCUCUGUGGAAUUAGCAAUCCGGGAGGGACAGAGCAGAAGAACAAGAGCGAGAAAACGAGAAAGUAAGCCACCACAUCCAGGACCUGGACCGUGUUCUCCCAUAAAGGAGUCCGGUGCCCUUAACCACCAUGCCCACCACAUGCUGGCCCCUGGCGUCCCACUUCUGAGCCAUGAGCUUUAGUCUCUUGUUGGUGAGGGGAGGCAUCAAAGCCUCAGCUGUCCUUUUGAGAAUUCACAGCCCUGGGCCAGUGGGUCGCAAGGAGGUUCAGGUGCUACCUCCUUGGUGGCCAAGCAUGAGGUUUGUCUCAGACCUCCAGCUUGGAGAUCACAUGCUUAACAUCCACCAAGAGCAGAACGGAGGAGGAGAAGGAGUCACGACAAAGCCAUUUCUCCUGGGGUAAGGGGAUGGUUUUUGUCCCACCCCUCCCUACCUCUGUGCCUGUUUAGUGCACAAAUUCCACAGCAAAAGCUGCAUGGAAAACAGGCAAGGUAAAAUGCCAGUAUCAUGGGGGUGUCCACCUCUCUUUCUGUUGUGUGCCCGAGAUGUCUCACCAAUGAGACCUGGGCCCAGUGGGCCAUCAGGGUGAGCUCACCCCUGCAGCUCAAGAACUGCACUUCCCAUAGGCCUCCAAGAAGAAGACGUGCAGGUGCGGCACCAGACUAUGCCUCAUAGAAGCCUCUGCAAGGGAUGUUGUCAGGUGCAAUGCUCCCUAAAGGUCCCUCUGGGGGCACAGCACCCAUCUGGAGUACCCAAAAGUUUCCGUGAGACUGGCAGGGGUCAGGGAAAGGCAGGAGAACAGCUAUCCCAGAGGCUUCUGGGAGGAAGGCCUCCAAGCCCCAUGCCAGACCCCAUCUCCCAAUGGCCACCGGGAGGGAGGUAGACUUCCUGGUGGAGCUCUGGACCAUGACCCCCACUUAAUCAAUGAAGUUAAGUAAACCACCAGCCUCUGGGAUAUGGCAG